UUAACUAUUUUUAUGGUACUCGGACGACUUAAAUAAAAGAGUGUUGGAGUCCUCUGGCAGGCACAGACCAGCUAAAGCCAGCAGUCAAGAGACAGGCCUGCCAAGGCAACAAAGGUAUUGUAGACAAAGGGUGGGAGAUAUACCCCAAAGGGCAUGUUCUCUGUAAUGAUCCUUCCGCAGGUUCACCUACGGAAA
rnacentral:misc_RNA from 1 species